rnacentral:rRNA from 1 species
UACGUAGGGUGCAAGCGUUAAUCGGAAUUACUGGGCGUAAAGCGUGCGCAGGCGGUUUUGUAAGUCUGUCGUGAAAUCCCCGGGCUCAACCUGGGAAUUGCGAUGGAGACUGCAAGGCUAGAAUCUGGCAGAGGGGGGUAGAAUUCCACGUGUAGCAGUGAAAUGCGUAGAGAUGUGGAGGAACACCGAUGGCGAAGGCAGCCCCCUGGGUCAAGAUUGACGCUCAUGCACGAAAGGCGUGGGGAGCAAACAGGAUUAGAACGU